UACGUAGGUGGCAAGCGUUGUCCGGAUUUACUGGGCGUAAAGAGCGCGCAGGCGGUCGAUCAAGUCGCGUGUGAAAGCCCCCGGCUCAACUGGGGAGGGUCACGCGAUACUGAUCGACUCGAAGGCAGGAGAGGGUAGUGGAAUUCCCGGUGUAGUGGUGAAAUGCGUAGAUAUCGGGAGGAACACCAGUGGCGAAGGCGACUACCUGGCCUGUUCUUGACGCUGAGGCGCGAAAAGCUAGGGGAGCAAACGGGG
rnacentral:rRNA from 1 species